rnacentral:rRNA from 1 species
UACGGGGGGGGCAAGCGUUGUUCGGAAUUACUGGGCGUAAAGGGCUCGUAGGCGGCCAACUAAGUCAGACGUGAAAUCCCCAGGCUCAACCUGGGAACUGCGUCCGAUACUGGCGGGCUUGAAUCCGGGAGAGGGAUGUGGAAUUCCAGGUGUAGCGGUGAAAUGCGUAGAUAUCUGGAGGAACACCGGUGGCGAAGGCGGCAUCCUGGACCGGUAUUGACGCUGAGGCGCGAAAGCUAGGGGAGCAAACGGG